CCGCUUGAUUUCAAACUUUCUUAUUGACUUCAAUUCACAAAUUCAAGAUGAACUCACGAAUUGCUAUCUUCUUGUUCUUUAUUAUUGCUGCAUUAGCGAUAUCAGCUACGUUUGGUGAUUCUGAUGUGAUAGACCAGUUAAAACAAGCUGGUUUGGACUCUGAAAUGGCAAGUGAACUCGAAAAUGUCAUUGAACAGCUGCAACAGUAGUAAGUAA